UAUUAAUAAAAACGUUAAUCAUUACUUACAGCUUGGUCCUAAUGUCAGCAUAGGUCGUAAUGUUACCAUUGGUCCAGGUGUUCGAGUAAGAGAAAGUAUUAUUCUAAACGGAGCCGUUAUAGAAAGUCAUAGUCUUAUACGACACAGUAUUAUAGGCCAAAAUUCUAGAAUUGGUCGCUGGACACGAGUUGAAGGCACUCCCACCGAUCCCGAUCCUAAUAAACCCUUCGCCAAAAUGGAAAAUCCUCCUUUAUUCAAAGAAGACGGCAGGAUGCAUCCGUCCAUUACUGUUUUAGGUGGAGAUGUUAAUGUUCGUUCUGAAACAAUUUUACUUAACUCAAUCGUACUGCCGCACAAGGAACUCACACGCAGUUUCAAGAAUGAAAUUAUACUGUAAUUAGUACGAAAAAUAUUUUUUUAAUCAGCAUAAUUGUCUAUGAAACAAUAAAAGGUAUUCAAAAAGCAA